GUUGAGGAAGCCUUUUCUUUCCCACAAUGCACAGCGGCAUUCAGCGCUUUAUAAAUGUAUACGUGACUUCCGUUCUGCCUUUCAGUCUGAACCAUGCUCCCUGGAAGUUUCUUCGACUUUAACUUAAAUAUUAAAGUCUUCCCUCCGUGCUGAUGAAGUUUUGGAGCCAAGCUGCAGUUAUGGGAUAGAGCUACAAACCUGAUGUCCUGCAUGUUGGACUCGAGGCAGAGAGAGACUGUGAUGAGCUGCUCAAUGCUGACCUGAAUGUCCGUCUGCUUGCUGACUGAUGGAGCAGAUAGAGCUACUGGCCUGCAGGGGGCAGUAAACGCCAAGAGGAGCACAAACUGGCCCAGUGUGUUGGUAGAAACGUGCCGGCUGGUCUUGAUGGGACGUCCUCGCUGGAUGUGACACUGACAUGCCCGUGUUCGUAGAUCUCUGCAUCACUUGGAGUUUGGUGAUGCACAUAAGCUGUAAAGCUAUUUAAGUGUUGCCCACUUUGACGCCUUCUUACAUGUUUAAUAAAACUUGGAUCAUUCAGAA